CAUUUUGUCAGCUCUUCAUUGGCUUCCAGUCAAAUUUCGUAUUGAUUUUAAAAUUUUAGUCCUGACUUUCCGGGCGUUGCACGGUCAGGCCCCCCUGUAUAUUGCUGACUUGUUGUGCCCCUACUCCUCAGGGCGCCCCCUUAGGUCCGCAGGCCAGAGCCUCCUGAAGGUCCCAAAGACUUACUUCAAGACCAG